rnacentral:rRNA from 1 species
AUUGAACGCUGGCGGCAUGCCUUACACAUGCAAGUCGAACGGCAGCACGGGAGCAAUCCUGGUGGCGAGUGGCGAACGGGUGAGUAAUAUAUCGGAACGUGCCCAGUAGUGGGGGAUAACUGCUCGAAAGAGCAGCUAAUACCGCAUACGACCUGAGGGUGAAAGGGGGGGAUCGCAAGACCUCUCGCUAUUGGAGCGGCCGAUAUCAGAUUAGCUAGUUGGUGGGGUAAAGGCCUACCAAGGCAACGAUCUGUAGUUGGUCUGAGAGGACGACCAGCCACACGGGGACUGAGACACGGCCCAGACUCCUACGGGAGGCAGCAGUGGGGAAUUCUGGACGGUGGGGGCAAGCCUGAUCCAGCAAUGCCGCGUGCAGGAAGAAGGCCUUCGGGUUGUAAACUGCUUUUGUCAGGGAAGAAAUCCUCUAGGUUAAUACCCUUGGGGGGAUGACGGUACCUGAAGAAUAAGCACCGGCUAACUACGUGCCAGCAGCCGCCGUAAAAC